AGGGGCAGCAGGUAGGGGUGGGAGGGGAGAGCACCUCUCAGCCCCGUCUGGAUAUGUGGGUCUGGGGUGGGGCAGUCACUGUCACGGUCACAGUUCUCUGGCCUCUGGAUCUCAGGACACUUAAGUGGGUGCCCCUACUCCCCACAAAGCCUCCUGCCUGGAGUCGUUGUGGGUGAUCUCUGAGCUGGAAGAUGCCCCUCAGCCUGCAGAGCCCCAGCCAGACACCAGCCUGGAAGGGGUUAGGGAUGGGGUAUGCUGGAUGAGCCAGGCACCCCGAGCUUCAGAGUGUGACCUGCCAGACAGCAGACACAGGGCAGGCUGGUGCGGGGGUGGGGAUCCCUGGAGGCUGGAAGCCCUGCCCUGAGCGCCAGCCCCCGGGCAUGGCUGCUGGGAGGGUGGGGACUCCGCUCUCUGGGUCCUUUCUCCCGCCUCCAUGCUCGACCCUCCCCGCCGCCUCUGAGGCCGGGCAGCGGGCUGCUUGCCAUCUGUCAUGAGGGGCCGAGCCCCGCGCCCUGCAGGCGCUCCGCUGCCCACCAUCACCAGCGUGGUGGUCCCCACGGGCUAUGACUGGAGGGACAUCACAAGUACAUCAUGGACCACCAUGACAUAGAGAUUGCGGGCGGCCUUGGGCCCUCGGCGGGGAAGGUGCUGCGGAUCGGCCUGCUGGGCGGCAACGCCACCCGGGAGAGCGUGGACCGAGUGACCCGGGCCCUGCGGGAGGCCCUGCAGCGCUGCCCCCGCAGCAAGCUGUGAGCGGGCUGUCUGUCCCUUGUCCACCGUGGGAGCGGGCGUGUGGCCCUGGGGUGAACAGACUCUGCAGGGGCACGGACAGCUGCUGCCCAGCCCAGGCGGCUGCCCGCCCCAGGCGGCCUGCCCCUCCCGUGAAACCUCCUGGUGUGGCGCGUGGACCCUCAGCACCUCCCUUGAGCUGUCGCCCCAUAGGUCCCCGGCCUCCUACGAAGGUUCAAUAAAGAAGUGGCUUCAUUAGUCUUCACUGUGUGGGCCCUGCUCCUGACUGCACCUGAGCUGGGGGUUUGGAUUCAGGGAGCAGAGCCUUGCCGGAAGGAUCUGGGCUGGAGGACGGGUUGUGUGAGUCAGUCAGCUGCCUGGGGUCCCUGUCACUGCACAGUCUGGGCCUAGAUCUUGAGCCUGCAAACACCUCCUCUCCCACCACCUCCACAGAGGCCCCGCGGCCCACAGGGUCACGGCUAGGGCACCAAGAGCUCAGGAGCACACAGCCAGUACUCAGGCC
rnacentral:lncRNA from 1 species